rnacentral:lncRNA from 1 species
CUGAUUUGGCCUGGAUGGUUCAGGAUAAUCACCUGAGCAGUGAAGCCAGCUGCUUCCAUUGGUGGGUCGUUUUUUCUGUCACCAGCAACAUUGCCUCGUCUAACAUCUUUGACCAACACGUUCUUUAUAUUGAAACCCACAUUGUCCCCAGGAAGAGCUUCACUCAAAGCUUCAUGGUGCAUUUCAACAGACUUGACUUCAGUUGUUACCUUCACUCAAAGCUUCAUGGUGCAUUUCAACAGACUUGACUUCAGUUUUUACGUUGACUGGAGCAAAGGUAAACACCAU